CGGACGGGUGGGUAAUGUCUGGGAAACUGCCCGAUGGAGGGGGAUAACUACUGGAAACGGUAGCUAAUACCGCAUAACGUCGCAAGACCAAGAGGGGACCGUUCGGGCCUCUUGCCAUCGGAUGUGCCCAGAUGGGAUUAGCUAGUAGGUGGGGUAACGGCUCACCUAGGCGACGAUCCCUAGCUGGUCUGAGAGGAUGACCAGCCACACUGGAACUGAGACACGGUCCAG
rnacentral:rRNA from 1 species